rnacentral:lncRNA from 1 species
CUGAAGCUCCCUCUCUUCUCUAUUGCAGGGGAACAUCUCUCUGUUCAUGAAGCAUCGCCAACGCUAGCCCUUGUUGGCUUCUUGCCCAUGGCGACCGAGCAGGCGGGAGAAGGUUUUAUGUCCCGAUGACGACUAGGGCGCUUGUGAUGCUGUAAGUCCCAAUGCAAGGCAUGUCCACUUUUAUCCAUAUAAACUUUGGAAUGGCCAUCUAUUGUAAGAAUUUGCCUUAUACUGGUUUCAAUGAUCUUACAUGAGUGAAUUGUUCUUUAUAAUCCCCACUUGAUGAUGCUACAAGUUCAUCGGUUCUAUUUGAAUUUAUUUUCUAAUCUUGUAGCUAUCACUAAGAUUUGCAUGCUUGCGUUUUUUGAACCAUCAGCAGGUUGGCGUGACUGAUGAUGUAUAGCCAUUCCUGGGAUCUGGAAGAUUUGGUACUGAUUGGCCGAGUAGUAGGUCUCUUCAUGCAAGUUUUGUAAUUUACCAUUCCCAUAUUUGAUGGAGCAAGUGAAACAUAUUUCUUCAUAUUACCCAUAGUCACUAUAUCUGCUUAUCAGGCUUCACGAAAAACUCAGAUGAUACAUAUAAACUCCAGUGGAUAUAAAUGUCAUUUGUUAUUCUCUAAAUCGAAUUUAGCGGGAACUAAUUACAGUUUGUUAUUCUAUAAAUGUUGUUUGUUUUUCUAUAGCCAUCACCAAUACUAAAUUUUGUUUUCUAAUGAAAGAUCCUGGAAUUGUUAUGCAGAAUAGGCAAACUGUUCUCUUUUCUACCACACAGACUCAGGACGUUAGGGGAUCUAUUAUUCAGCCUAUUCAAAUUUUCCCCAAUUUUUUCGGCGGCAAUGCUUAUGUCGUGUCAUCCCACAGGUUGAAGAUUUUACAAAUUUUACGUUUGGGAAAAAGGAAGAGAAGACAACGAAAACUUGUUUAUGUUGGAGUAGAUGACUCUGAGUUAAAGGUAUGGAACUGCUUCACCCUGCUGUUCAACUUUCUUUUAAAGAUUUUUUGGUUUAUUUGGUAGUAUGAAAAAUAAUUGUGAUGCUCUUGCAACCUACCGCUGUAGCGCUGCAGCAGCGCUCUUCUUAAUUUCACUUAUUUGUCCGAUAUUAAACCUGUUUAGCUCAUGGAUGUGACAAUAUGUUUGCUGUUAUAGAAGGUGGGUGGACUCUCAGAAGGCCAUCUGAGGUUUCUGCAGCUGGCGGUGCCGGGCUUCCCAUUGCUGCAGGCACAACACUACAGGCAUUGGGGUCCAUUGGUGCCAAGUUUGCC